rnacentral:rRNA from 1 species
CCUACGGGGCGGCAGCCGCGGUAAUACGUAGGGUGCAAGCGUUAUCCGGAUUUAUUGGGCGUACAGGGCUCGUAGGCGGUUCGUCGCGUCCGGUGUGAAAGUCCAUCGCUUAACGGUGGAUCCGCGCCGGGUACGGGCGGGCUUGAGUGCGGUAGGGGAGACUGGAAUUCCCGGUGUAACGGUGGAAUGCGUAGAUAUCGGGAAGAACACCAAUGGCGAAGGCAGGUCUCUGGCCGUUACUGACGCUGAGGGGCGAAAGCGUGGGGAGCGGACAGGAUUAGAUACCCCGGGAGUCCAC